rnacentral:rRNA from 1 species
AGUGAACGCUGGCGGCAGGCCUAAUACAUGCAAGUCGAACGGCAGCAACAGCAGAGCUUGCUCUGUGGGUGGCGAGUGGCGGACGGGUGAGGAAUACAUGGGAAUCUGCCCAGUCGUGGGGGAUAACGUAUGGAAACGUACGCUAAUACCGCAUGCGCCCUACGGGGGAAAGUCGGGGACCGCAAGGCCUGACGCGAUUGGAUGAGCCCAUGUUCGAUUAGCUAGUUGGCGGGGUAAAGGCCCACCAAGGCGACGAUCGAUAGCUGGUCUGAGAGGAUGAUCAGCCACACUGGAACUGAGACACGGUCCAGACUCCUACGGGAGGCAGCAGUAGGGAAUAUUGGACAAUGGGGGCAACCCUGAUCCAGCCAUGCCGCGUGAGUGAAGAAGGCCCUCGGGUUGUAAAGCUCUUUUGUCCGGAAAGAAAGCAAUCGGUUAAUACCCGGUUGUUCUGACGGUACCGGAAGAAUAAGCACCGGCUAACUUCGUGCC